rnacentral:rRNA from 1 species
CCUACGGGAGGCAGCAGUGGGGAAUCUUGCGCAAUGGGCGAAAGCCUGACGCAGCGACGCCGCGUGGGUGAUGAAGGCCUUCGGGUCGUAAAGCCCUGUCAAGAGGGACGAAACCUCGUCGACCUAACAUGUCGGCGACCUGACGGUACCUCUGAAGGAAGCACCGGCUAACUCCGUGCCAGCAGCCGCGGUAAUACGGAGGGUGCGAGCGUUGUUCGGAAUUACUGGGCGUAAAGCGCGUGUAGGCGGCCUCCUCAGUCUGGUGUGAAAGCCCGGGGCUCACCCCCGGAAGUGCAUUGGAUACUGGGAGGCUGGAGUACCGGAGAGGAGGGUGGAAUUCCCGGUGUAGUGGUGAAAUGCGUAGAUAUCGGGAGGAACACCAGUGGCGAAAGCGGUCUUCUGGGCUGUAACUGACGCUGAGGCGCGAAAGCGUGGGGAGCGAACCGGAUUAGAUACCCGGGUAGUCCACGCCGUAAACGAUGGACACUAGGUGUGGGGGGUAUCGACCCCCUCCGUGCCGUAGCUAACGCAAUAAGUGUCCCGCCUGGGGAGUACGGCCGCAAGGCUAAAACUCAAAGGAAUUGACGG